AGAGUUUGAUCCUGGCUCAGGAUGAACGCUAGCUACAGGCUUAACACAUGCAAGUCGAGGGGCAGCAUGAACUUAGCUUGCUAAGUUUGAUGGCGACCGGCGCACGGGUGAGUAACGCGUAUCCAACCUGCCCUUUACCCGGGGAUAGCCUUCUGAAAGGAAGUUUAAUACCCGAUGAUUUCGUUUAGUCGCAUGACUUGAUGAAUAAAGAUUAAUUGGUAAAGGAUGGGGAUGCGUCCCAUUAGCUUGUUGGCGGGGUAACGGCCCACCAAGGCGACGAUGGGUAGGGGUUCUGAGAGGAAGGUCCCCCACAUUGGAACUGAGACACGGUCCAAACUCCUACGGGAGGCAGCAGUGAGGAAUAUUGGUCAAUGGACGAGAGUCUGAACCAGCCAAGUAGCGUGAAGGAUGAAGGUCCUACGGAUUGUAAACUUCUUUUAUAAGGGAAUAAACCCUCCCACGUGUGGGAGCUUGUAUGUACCUUAUGAAUAAGCAUCGGCUAACUCCGUGCCAGCAGCCGCGGUAAUACGGAGGAUGCGAGCGUUAUCCGGAUUUAUUGGGUUUAAAGGGUGCGUAGGUGGUGAUUUAAGUCAGCGGUGAAAGUUUGUGGCUCAACCAUAAAAUUGCCGUUGAAACUGGGUUACUUGAGUGUGUUUGAGGUAGGCGGAAUGCGUGGUGUAGCGGUGAAAUGCAUAGAUAUCACGCAGAACUCCGAUUGCGAAGGCAGCUUACUAAACCAUAACUGACACUGAAGCACGAAAGCGUGGGGAUCAAACAGGAUUAGAUACCCUGGUAGUCCACGCAGUAAACGAUGAUUACUAGGAGUUUGCGAUACAAUGUAAGCUCUACAGCGAAAGCGUUAAGUAAUCCACCUGGGGAGUACGCCGGCAACGGUGAAACUCAAAGGAAUUGACGGGGGCCC
rnacentral:rRNA from 1 species